rnacentral:snRNA from 1 species
AGCUUUGUGCAGUGGCAGUAUCGUAGCCAGUGAGGUUUAUCGGAGGUGUGAUCACUGCUAAUUGAAAACUUUUCUAUAAAGGAACUGGUCUGUAGUUAAAAAAAAAAAAUCAGUGUCACAAAGGACAAGGAAAUAUGCAACAUGUAAUCUUAGAUUAGAUCCUGGAUG